rnacentral:rRNA from 1 species
UGGGGGAUAUUGCACAAUGGGCGCAAGCCUGAUGCAGCGACGCCGCGUGGGGGAUGAAGGCCUUCGGGUUGUAAACUUCUUUUGCUCUGAACAAGGCGCACUUUGGGGUGUGUUGAGUGUAGGGGUUGAUUAGCGCCGGCUAACUACGUGCCAGCAGCCGCGGUAAUACGUAGGGCGCGAGCGUUGUCCGGAAUUAUUGGGCGGAAAGGGCUUGUAGGUGGCUGGUUGCGUCUGUCGUGAAAGCUCAUGGCUUAACUGUGGGGUUGCGGUGGGUACGGGCUGGCUUGAGUGCAGUAGGGGAGGCUGGAAUUCCUGGUGUAGCGGUGGAAUGCGCAGAUAUCAGGAGGAAUACCGGUGGCGAAGGCGGGUCUCUGGGCUGUUACUGACACUGAGGAGCGAAAGCAUGGGGAGCGAACAGG